GUGUGCACUCUGGCAAUACAUAUACUAAGAUUGGAACGAUACAGAGAAGAUAACAUGCCCCCUACAUAAGGAUGACAUGCAAAUACAUGAAGGGUUGUGUAUUAAA